rnacentral:lncRNA from 1 species
GGGGUAAAACUAUAAAUUUUCCACUUUUAAAGGUAUUUCAGUAAUUUAUCUAUUUUAGGGUUUUUCAUGCAUAUUCCUACUUUUCACGUACUAACAGAAUCACGUACCGAGGGUUCUUACCAAAUUGGGCCCGUUGGCCCAUCAUUCCAAUUUUGGCCCAUUAAGCCCAAAAAUAUCGAGGGCACAGAAAUCAUGCACUUUGCAGUCCAAAUUUUGCAGCUUAUCAAAAACAUUAAUCGAUUUACCUCACGAGCAUUCGCACACUCGCAAAUCUACAAAAUACCGGUUUUCGGCAUUUCGGCUUUUCGACUUUUGCCGAUCCAGACUAAGAAAGAGGGUGUUAGUUACACACCUAUUUGCGACGAUAUGCUGACGAGAUCCACACACGAACCGCCUACAAUUGGAUUACUAACACGUUAAUCUAACUAUUCAAGUACAAACUACGUAUUAACCCCUUACAAUAUUCGGCCAACCACACCUACAGAUCAUAGUAAGCUUAUAAGAAAUCAAUAAGCAACUCAUUAACAAAGUUUUGUCAAUGUUUACCACAUAAUCAUAAUCUCACUGCAAGCUGUCUUCCUGAGAAAUAGUCACUAAAUCAUUUAUAACUGGAGCUACGAAACUCCAAAUCAAGUGCCGUUAAUUUUCCCUGAAAAUAGACUCAUAUAUCUUAUAUCCAUAAAAUUUUAAGAAUUUUUUGUUUGGCCAAUCAAUACCAGAUUUUUCUCAAAUUUUCGCAUGUUUCACUAUUUGACUAAUCUGACCACUCUUCAUUACGAAUCAAAUUUCUCAUUGUACAGAAUUCAAAAUAUGUUCUCGUUUAUUCCAUUUGAAACUAGACUCAUUAAGCUUUAAUUACAUAAUUUAUGUAGCUUCUAACUCAUCUCCCACAAUUUAUGGUGAUUUUCCAAAGUCACGUUACUGCUGCUGUCCCAAGCAGAUUUAUUACCAAAUCACUCUUUCACACCUAACUUGCAUGCUUGUUAUUUAAACAUGUAUAUCACCAAUCAAUCAUCACAUAUCUAUGAUUUUACUUAAGUAUAAUCUCCAUUUCAUCAUUUUAAAGCACAACAUGUUAGCCGAUUUUUCCCUUUAGCAUCUAAGCACAUGCAUGCUCAUUUGUUUGGCUCAACUUCACAUAUCUUCCAUUUUUCAUCAAAAGAACAUGAAACAACAACCAUUUCCUUCAUUUUAAUUCAGGACCAAAUGCUCACAACACAACCAAAAACCAAAAUAUGCUUCAAGAGUUAAGGUAGAAUCAAGAAGAACUCAUGAACAUCAAGAUAGAAGCAAACUACCAUGAACUUACCUUCAAUUUUCUUCCCCAAGUGACCGAACAUUCAAGAGCUUUCUCCUCUCCUUUCUCUUCUCUAACUUUAGGC